AUACGUAGGGGGCAAGCGUUGUCCGGAAUUAUUGGGCGUAAAGCGCGCGCAGGCGGUCAUUUAAGUCUGGUGUAUAAACUCGGGGCUCAACUCCGAGUCGCACUGGAAACUGGGUGACUUGAGUGCAGAAGAGGAGAGUGGAAUUCCACGUGUAGCGGUGAAAUGCGUAGAGAUGUGGAGGAACACCAGUGGCGAAGGCGACUCUCUGGGCUGUAACUGACGCUGAGGCGCGAAAGCGUGGGUAGCAAACAGGAUUAGAUACCCUGGUAGUCCACGCCGUAAACGAUGAAUGCUAGGUGUUAGGGGUUUCGAUACCCUUGGUGCCGAAGUUAACACAUUAAGCAUUCCGCCUGGGGAGUACGGUCGCAAGACUGAA
rnacentral:rRNA from 1 species